GAUGAACGCUGGCGGCGUGCCUAAUACAUGCAAGUCGAGCGAACGGACGAGAAGCUUGCUUCUCUGAUGUUAGCGGCGGACGGGUGAGUAACACGUGGAUAACCUACCUAUAAGACUGGGAUAACUUCGGGAAACCGGAGCUAGUACCGGAUAAUAUUUUGAACCGCAUGGUUCAAAAGUGAAAGACGGUCUUGCUGUCACUUAUAGAUGGAUCCGCGCUGCAUUAGCUAGUUGGUAAGGUAACGGCUUACCAAGGCAACGAUGCAUAGCCGACCUGGGAGGGUGAUCGGCCACACUGGAACUGAGACACGGUCCAGACUCCUACGGGAGGCAGCAGUAGGGAAUCUUCCGCAAUGGGCGAAAGCCUGACGGAGCAACGCCGCGUGAGUGAUGAAGGUCUUCGGAUCGUAAAACUCUGUUAUUAGGGAAGAACAUAUGUGUAAGUAACUGUGCACAUCUUGACGGUACCUAAUCAGAAAGCCACGGCUAACUACGUG
rnacentral:rRNA from 1 species